UACGGAGGGUGCAAGCGUUGUCCGGAAUCACUGGGCGUAAAGGGCGCGUAGGCGGCCUGGUAAGUAGGGGGUGAAAUCCUGCGGCUUAACCGCAGGGCUGCCUUCUAAACUGUCAGGCUUGAGCACGGUAGAGGCAGAUGGAAUUCCCGGUGUAGCGGUGGAAUGCGUAAAGAUCGGGAAGAACAUCAGUGGCGAAGGCGGUCUGCUGGGCCGUUGCUGACGCUGAGGCGCGACAGCGUGGGGAGCAAACAGG
rnacentral:rRNA from 1 species